AACGAACGCUGGCGGCGCGCCUAAUACAUGCAAGUCGAGCGAGAAGACGUAGCAAUACGUUUGUAAAGCGGCGAACGGGUGAGGAAUACAUGGGUAACCUACCCUCGAGUGGGGAAUAACUAGCCGAAAGGUUAGCUAAUACCGCGUACGCUCCUUGGACUUCGGUUCAGGGAGGAAAGCGAUACCGCGGGUAUCGCGCUCUUGGAUGGGCUCAUGUCCUAUCAGCUUGUUGGUGAGGUAACGGCUCACCAAGGCUUCGACGGGUAGCUGGUCUGAGAGGACGAUCAGCCACACUGGCACUGCGACACGGGCCAGACUCCUACGGGAGGCAGCAGUAAGGAAUAUUGCGCAAUGGGCGAAAAGCCUGACGCAGCGACGCCGCGUGGGGGAGUGAAGGUCUUCGGAUUGUAAACCCCUUUCGGGUA
rnacentral:rRNA from 1 species